UGGCGGCAGGCUUAACACAUGCAAGUCGAGCGCCCCGCAAGGGGAGCGGCAGACGGGUGAGUAACGCGUGGGAAUCUACCCUUUUCUACGGAAUAACGCAGGGAAACUUGUGCUAAUACCGUAUAAGCCCUUCGGGGGAAAGAUUUAUCGGGAAAGGAUGAGCCCGCGUUGGAUUAGCUAGUUGGUGGGGUAAAGGCCUACCAAGGCGACGAUCCAUAGCUGGUCUGAGAGGAUGAUCAGCCACAUUGGGACUGAGACACGGCCCAAACUCCUACGGGAGGCAGCAGUGGGGAAUAUUGGACAAUGGGCGCAAGCCUGAUCCAGCCAUGCCGCGUGAGUGAUGAAGGCCCUAGGGUUGUAAAGCUCUUUCACCGGUGAAGAUAAUGACGG
rnacentral:rRNA from 1 species